rnacentral:tRNA from 1 species
GCCGGGAUAGCAAAGUGGAUUACUGCGCUGGCCUUGAGAGCCAGUAUCCCGCAAGGGAUGCGUGGGUUCGAAUGGAAGCCAGAAACCCUUGCUUCCCAGAGCGUCCCACUCCCGGCGCCA